AACGAACGCUGGCGGCGUGGAUAAGACAUGCAAGUCGAACGGGACUUUUUCUGGUAGCAAUACCGGAAAAGUCUAGUGGCGAACGGGUGCGUAACACGUGGACAAUCUGCCUUAAAGUGGGGGAUAGCUCGGCGAAAGCCGAAUUAAUACCGCAUGUGAUCAGCUAAGACAUCUUAGCGAAAUCAAAGCCGGGGCAACCUGGCGCUUAUUGAGGAGUCCGCGGCCUAUCAGCUAGNGGUGAGGUAACGGCUCACCAAGGCUAUGACGGGUAGCUGGUCUGAGAGGACGACCAGCCACACUGGAACUGAGACACGGUCCAGACACCUACGGGUGGCAGCAGUCGAGUAAUUUUUCNCAAGUCGGGGAAACCCUGAAGGAGCGACGCCGCGUGGAGGAUGAAGGUCUUCGGAUU
rnacentral:rRNA from 1 species